UGGGGAAUCUUGCACAAUGGGCGAAAGCCUGAUGCAGCGACGCCGCGUGCGGGAUGAAGGCCUUCGGGUUGUAAACCGCUUUCAGCAGGGACGAGGCCGCAAGGUGACGGUACCUGCAGAAGAAGCCCCGGCUAACUACGUGCCAGCAGCCGCGGUAAUACGUAGGGGGCAAGCGUUAUCCGGAUUCAUUGGGCGUAAAGCGCGCGUAGGCGGUCUGUUAGGUCAGGAGUUAAAUCUGGGGGCUCAACCCCUAUCCGCUCCUGAUACCGGCAGGCUUGAGUCUGGUAGGGGAAGAUGGAAUUCCAAGUGUAGCGGUGAAAUGCGCAGAUAUUUGGAAGAACACCGGUGGCGAAGGCGGUCUUCUGGGCCAUGACUGACGCUGAGGCGCGAAAGCUAGGGGAGCGAACAGG
rnacentral:rRNA from 3 species